AACUUUCGGCAAUGGAUCUCUUGGCUCUCGCAUCGAUGAAGAACGCACCGAAAUGCGAUAAGUAAUGUGAAUUGCAGAAUUCAGUGAAUCAUCGAAUCUUUGAACGCACCUUGCGCUCCUUGGUAUUCCGAGGAGCAUGCCUGUUUGAGUGUCAUUAAUAUAAUCUCAACCCCUUCUCUUGUUGGAAGGGUUUGGAUGUGGGGGUUUGCUGGCCUUCUCAAAAGGUUCAGCUCCUCUGAAAUGCAUUAGCAGAACAACCUUGCUCAUUGGUGUGAUAACUAUCUACGCUUAUGAAUGUGAGGGGCAGUUCAGCUUUCUAGCCGUCUUUGGACAAUUCAUCAUUAAUGUGACCUCAAAUCAGGUAGGACUACCCGCUGAACUUAAGCAUAUCAAUAAGCGGAGGCU
rnacentral:misc_RNA from 1 species